CGAUGAAGCCCAGCUUGCUGGGUGGAUUAGUGGCGAACGGGUGAGUAACACGUGAGCAACCUGCCCCUGACUCUGGGAUAACAGCCGGAAACGGUUGCUAAUACCGGAUAUGCAUCAUGGCCGCAUGGUCUGUGGUGGGAAAGAUUUUUCGGUUGGGGAUGGGCUCGCGGCCUAUCAGCUUGUUGGUGAGGUAGUGGCUCACCAAGGCGUCGACGGGUAGCCGGCCUGAGAGGGUGACCGGCCACACUGGGACUGAGACACGGCCCAGACUCCUACGGGAGGCAGCAGUGGGGAAUAUUGCACAAUGGGCGGAAGCCUGAUGCAGCAACGCCGCGUGAGGGAUGACGGCCUUCGGGUUGUAAACCUCUUUUAGCAGGGAAGAAGCGAAAGUGACGGUACCUGCAGAAAAAGCGCCGGCUAACUACGUGCCAGCAGCCGCGGUAAUACGUAGGGCGCAAGCGUUAUCCGGAAUUAUUGGGCGUAAAGAGCUCGUAGGCGGUUUGUCGCGUCUGCUGUGAAAACCCGAGGCUCAACCUCGGGCCUGCAGUGGGUACGGGCAGACUAGAGUGCGGUAGGGGAGAUUGGAAUUCCUGGUGUAGCGGUGGAAUGCGCAGAUAUCAGGAGGAACACCGAUGGCGAAGGCAGAUCUCUGGGCCGUUACUGACGCUGAGGAGCGAAAGGGUGGGGAGCAAACAGGCUUAGAUACCCUGGUAGUCCACCCCGUAA
rnacentral:rRNA from 1 species